UACUGGCUGCCAACUAGACAUGGACCCAUUGAUCACUACCCAUUGAGCCCGACAAUCUAGCCAAUUUUCUACCCACCUUAUAGUGCAUUCAUCCAGCCCAUACUUCUUUAAUUUGCUGACAAGCCCCGAACUUCCCAGUUUCCAGUCCUUUAACAAAUACCUCCUUUGAAUUCUUUACCAAUCCAUUUAUCUGAUCACUGUAUCCUGUCCACACAGAAGUUUCCGAGCUAUGCCUAAAAUUUGCUCCCCUUCUGUUACUAAAUGCCAGCUUUCCUUCUGUGGGCUGAAGUGUGGGGUGGGGAGCAUUCCUACCCCUUCCCCUGCUGUGCUACCACAUGGCACCAUGAAGAUUGCAGAGCUUGAGUCAUUGCUGUUCUGCCAGGUCCAGGUAAAAGAGGGCUUCUCCUGCUUGGUGUGACCUCUCCUCUCUUCCAGUCACCGGGGGGGGGGGGGGGGGAGGGGGGCGGGAGGGUCAGCAUCCCCACAUUGACCUGUCAUUGCUGCAACCUCACUCCUUGCCUCUCUAUCCUUUAAAGAGGUACACACCUUCCUCCAGCCAGACAACAGUCCGUUCCCCUCCCCUCCCACGCCCCUGAUUAAUGUGUGGUGUGGCCAUUUUUGCCAUGCUGUAGAUUUUUUUGCCAGUGGUUUCUCCAGCAAACCACACAACAGUCCCUCUGUCCCCCCACACUUAAUGUGGGGUGUGGUCAUUUUUUGCCAAGCUACAGAUCUUUUGGCCAGCCAGUUGUGGAUGGUUUACAAGCUUGGCAUACAAGUCAUGUAUGGCAUUCUUUUUGGCUUUCUUCACUGCCUGUUUGGCAGCUCACUUUCCUUCGUUCUAGUCACUUUCAUUUACACUCAGUGUAUUCAUUUGUUUUUUCAUUAGGCUCUGUUUUUUUGUUUUGGGUAACUACCUGCACUUCAGUCUAUCACUACUCUUCUCUUUCCCUCUGUUUUCCCCAUCUGCAUCAGCCACAAAUCUCUUCCGCUGCUGCAAUCCAUGUUCUUUUGAGGUAGUUCCAUUCUUCAGCUAAUACCAACUGUGUUUCCACUACUGAUGUACGUGACCAAAUGACUCAUCUUUUGGAACCAUGGAUUGGCUAUCAUCCAUUGAUUGACAUUACAUAUGGUCUAGUAAUAGUUUCCCUUCCUCAUUCCAUAGUGCCUAGACGGGAAUUUCCAAGCACAUUACCCCUUCUGUUUUUGCUUGUCUCUUCCAUAAUUCAAGUCACCCAACAUCUCCUCUGGCACAGCUCUGUCCACUAGUGCUUGCAAGUCUUAGGGGAAACUCUGCUUCAUUUCAUCUUUCUUGAGGUGCAUACGCUGAUAUCACAAACAGAAUAUGCUCCUUAAUUUGGACCUACACAGCCAUCAGUCGGUCACUUACUCUAAUAAUUUCAAUCAUUGUUCUUUCUCAGCUCUCCUCUCACUACCCUCCUGACUCCAUUACACCUGCUUUUGUUACCAUAGAAGAGUUUACAAUCUAAGUUCCCUCACUGUGUUCCCCAUUCACCGUGUUUUCUGCAGAUAUAGAACAUAAAUACUCUCCUUACGAUCAUAUCAGCUACUUCCAGACCUUUGUCGUCAAAUGGGGUACACUCAGUAUUGCUACUUAUAUGGGAAUUCUUUGGCUGUGCAGGUCGUUGCUAUUCAUCUGACUCUUCAUUCUAAGUGGUAGUCCCCUGACCCUCUACAGGACUGUUCAGACACUGACUGCCAGACAUCCCCAGCUCAGAUGCUGGGGCUGCCAGGCUUAAGGUGCGUGAACUUCUGGCAUAGGGCUAAGAUGCCCUCUCACCAUUAGCAUUAGCCCUUGCUAAUAUCUACUACUGCCCUUUGGUAACUCACCAAAAAGAAAAACAUUGUUUGCACCAAUGUAGUCACCUUGUGCCAGAAACUAUAGUGUAUUAAUUGGUGUCCCUGACAUAUACCACAGUGAGAGGGCCUUUCCCCAGUUGAAUGCCCAAACUCUCCCCAUCUUAUUGCUAUAGACCAGAUGGAUGAAUAAGAGGUGGUACUGCUUUUCCUGCUGCCCAAACUAGGCUUUAUUUAACCCACAGAUGAGGGUUUCAGAUCAGUUUUCCUUCUCCAGAUUGAGCAGCCCUACCUGUCCUGGGAGAUUUGAUAAUUCAGCAAAAGGUUCAUUUUUGUCCUAGCAUGAUUUCAUGCACCUAAAAACAAUGUCCACUGUUGACUGACAUGCAGUUUUCUAACUUCAUUAUUUCAGACGGUCCUCAUGCCUUUAACUACAGUGAACUUUCACUGUAUUAGACAGAAGGCCUCACAGUCAGAUACUAGCUUUUAAUUUAAGAACUGUCAAAUUUCAUACGUGAGAGCCACACUCAAUCCAGAAUUAUAGUACAAUAACUCCUCACUUAAUGUCCUAUUGCUUAACUUUGUUUCCAUCUUACAUCCCUGCUCCAUUACAGAACAUGCUCACUUAAAGUUGUGCAGUGCUCCCCUAUAACAUCCUUUGGCCGCCUGCUUUGUCCACGGCUGGCAGCCCCCCGCGCAGCGCUUCCCGCCCGCCGGCAGACCUCGCGGAUCAGUGCCCGCCUCCUGCCUGCAGCAAUCAGCUGUCUUGCGGCGUUCAGGAGGCUGGGGGGAGGAGCGAGGACAUGGUGCGCAGCCUCCCCCCCGCCUCCUGAACGCCGCAAGACAGCUGAUUGCUGCAGGCAGGAGGUGGUGGGAUGGCGCUGAUUCACAGGGUCUGCCGGCAGGCCAGAAGCGCUGAGGGGGUCGGAGGGCGCGUAGGGGAGUUGAUAGUUAUGCUGCCAGCCUGUUUAAUACCUGUAUUAAAUUGCUUGUUUAAAAUUGUUUUUAAAAUGUACACAGGCUACCUGUGUUAAACUGCUUGUUUAAAAUGUAUAUAAUGCCUUUUGUCUGACAAAAAAAAUUUCCCUGGAACCUAACCCCCCUCUAUUUACAUUAAUUCUUAUGGGGAAAUUGGAGUCGCUUAACAUAGUUUCGCUUAAAGUCACAUUUUUCAGGAACAUAACUACGUUAAGUGAGGAGUUACUGUAUUGUGAUUAAUUCCAUUAAAGAAGGUACUCACCUUGUGCAGUAACAUUGGUUCCUUGAGAUGUGUCCUCCUGUGGAUGCUCCACUGUAGGUUGUCAAGUAGCAGCCGUGUUAGUCUGUAUCCGCAAAAAGAAAAGGAGUACUUGUGGCACCUUAGAGACUGACAAAUUUAUUUGAGAAUAAGCUUUCGUGAGCUACAGCUCACUUCAUCGGAUGAAGUGAGCUGUAGCUCACGAAAGCUUAUGCUCAAAUAAAGUUGUUAGUCUCUAAGGUGCCACAAGUACUCCUUUUCUUUUUGUAGGUUGUCUGUCCCUGCGCUGCUGAUCAGAGAGCUUUGGUAGUAGUCUGUCCCACCCGCACAUGCGUUGCUCCCAGCCUGCCACUAGGCUAGCCAGCAUGCUUGAGCAAUCUCUCCUCAGUUACUUCUCUACCGCACAGUCAACUACGAGGACUCCAAAAUAGAGGGGAGGAGGAUGGGUCAUGGAGCUCCCAUCAGGGCACACAUCUUGAAGAACCAUUGUUAUUGCACAAGGUAACUUCUUCGAGAGGUGUCCCUAUGGGUGGCUCUACUGUAGGUGAUUCCUGAGCAGUGCCCACCACUGGAGACUGUGACUUCGGAGUCAAGUCUGAUAUCGAUGAUAGUACUGUGGCACCAAAUUUGGAGUCUGAAGCCAAAUCCCCAGGAUGCCAUAGUGUUCUGUAAAGGUGUGUGCAGAUGCCCAGGUAACUGCUCUUCAGAUUUCUGAUAUAGGGAUACCCUGGGCGAAGGAUGAGGAGACCAACCUUGUAGAAUGCAUGUGUAUUGAAGACGGGGGGGGGGGGUUACAUUAUGCAAUUGGUAACAGAAUUUAAUACAGUCCAAGACGCACUGAGAGUGUCAGUGAGAUGAAAUCACUGUGCCUUUUGACCUAUCUGCAAUGGAGAGGAGAAUUUUCUGAAGGCUCUUUUUAUCCUGAUGAGGUCUGGGAUAAAAGGCUGGAAGCUAAAUAAGCUAAUUUAUGUGAAAAUGCAGAAGUCAUGUUGGGAGUGAAUUUCAGAUGUGGUCUAAGCAUGACCUUGUCAGGGAAGAACCCAGUGAAAGGGGAAUGUGCCAUUGGAACUGCUAUUUCCCCAAUCCUUCUUGCAGAGGUGAUGACAAUGAGAAUCAUCAUCUUCAUGGUAAGGUGAGUUAAUGAACAAGUGGCCAUGGGUUCAAAUGGUGGCCUAGUCAGACCUUUUAAUAGUAGGCUGCAAUCCUGUUGAGGCAUGGGAAGUCUGGGUUGUGGGAAGAAGUUUGCUAUGCAUUUGAUAAACCUCUUCAUAGUCAGAUGGGAGAAGAUUGAAUAUCCUUCUGUCUGCGGAGGGAAGGUUGCAAUUGCUGCUAUGUGAACCAAUAGAGAGUCUUGAUUUCUUGAGACUCAAAAGGUAGUCCAGGAUCACUGGUAGGGUGGAUGUAUUAGGCAUGACACUUUUGGGAUCUGGAAUCUCUUUCAUUUUUGUAGAUAGGUAUGGCAAGUAGCUCCUUUCCUACUGUGCAAUAACACGUCCUAUACCUCCUCAGAGCAAGAUGUCUCUACAUGCUGAAACCAUGAAGGAGCCAGACUUCGAGACACAGAAUCCACAGGUUGGGAUGGAGAGUGUGUGUCUCUUUCAGCGACAGAAGAUAAGGAGUGAUUGGAAGAGUCAUCAGUGGACAUAAUGCCAGCUGUGACAGGUAAGGGUACCACGUCUGUCUGGGCCAAGUGGGAGAAAUCAGUAUGUUUGCGCUCUCUUCACUUUCAACAGGACUUUCAAUAUUAGAUGUAAUGGGGGAAAAGCGUAAAGAAGGCCUUUGUCCCAUAGAUGGAGGAGGGCAUCUUCCAUGGAAUGUUGUCCGAUCCCCACUCUAGAGCAGUACUGUGGACACUGCUUGUUCUGGUAAGUAGUGAAUAGGUCUAUUACCGGUAUCCCGCACUGUCAGAAUAUAUUGUGGAGUACCACCGAAUCUCUCUCCCAUUUGUGGUCAUGUGGGAAUUUGGGGCUGAGACUGUCUGCCAUCAUGUUGUGUAUUCCUGAUAAGUAGGCAGCUGAUAUUAAGAUACUAUGGGAGAUGCAUCAGUUCCAUAGUUUUAGUGUUCUACAGACAGGGAAUGAGCCCUGGUGCCUCCCUGACGGUUUGUGUAAUACAUGCAGGCCAUAUUAUCCAUCAUGACCCUUUUGUGCAUGUCUUUGAUCAGCAGGAGGAAGCAAGUCCACAUGUUGAUGUGGAGGCAUCUCUCACCUGGAGUCCAUUUGUCCUGUAUUGUGCGACCAUUGAGAUGCGUGCAGUUAGGAGUAGAGAUGGGGAAGACUGAACAAACAGGAUUCCCGUACAGACGUUUACUGGGAUUGCUUGACCCUGACCCAGAUUCUGAAACAGGUCUAGCGUGGUCUCAGUGACUUGCUGGGACUCUGCAAAGGACCAUACCCUGAGAAGGCUGUCCAGGUAAUGAUAAAUCAUGAUGCCUUGAGAGCAUAAAUGGGCCGCCACUACCAAAAGGACCUUGAAGAAUACUCUUGGGGCCAAUGAAAGGCCGAAAGGGAGUACUCUGUAUUGGUAGUGGUCUUGACCUAACAUGAACCUGAGGUAAUGUCUGUGGCUCGAUAUGAUCAAGAUGUGAAAAUAAAUAUCUUGGAGGUUAAGGGCCGAGAACCAGUCUCCUUUUUCUAACGAUAACAAAUGAUAAUAACAUGACCAUCUUGAAUUUCUGAGCCUUGAUAAACUUUUUGAGCGCUCUGAGGUCCAGUAUGGGUCUCCAGGAAGUAACAAAAUUAGAAGCCUCUGCCCCUUACAUGUGUGGAUACUCGCACUAUGGCUUCUACACUGAGGAGAUGGUUUAUCUCCUGACAUAGAAAGCUCUUAUGAGAAGGGCCCCUGAGAAAGGAUGGGGAGCGGUUUUUGGGAGGGGGAGAGGGAGGAGAAAUGGGUGGAGUAGCCAUCUCAGAUGAUCUCCAACACCCACUUGUUGGAGGUUAUCCAUUCCCAGAUUCUGUGGAACGGGGCAAGAUGAUCUCCGAAGGGAUGGGUGUUUUCCACUGUGAAAUGAGGGGAGAGUUCUAUGGGCACCUCGAUCAGCCUGUCAAAACUAUUUCUUCAAGGUGGAGGGCUGAGAGGAAGUUUGCUGAGAUCCCAACAUCUUUCAUCUGGAGAACCUGGGCUUCUUCCUUUGAGGUUCAUGCGAUCUUUGUGUAUAUUGUGACUACUGAGAUGAGUAUUGUACCUUCUUUUGUAUCCAGGUGUAUAAAUCCCAAGGGAUUGAAGAAUGGCCCUCAAAUCUUUUAACAUGUGGAGGGAGGCAUCUGUCUUUUCAGCAAAUAAUUUUGUCCCCUAAAAAGGGAAGUCCUCUACCGUCGUUUGGACCUCCUUGGGGAAGUCAAAGAGAUGAAGCCAUGAGGCCCGUCUCAUCACAAUGCAGACAAAAUAGAACGUGCCACCAUCAAAUGCAUACUGGAGCGACACUUUGUCACCAGCUGGCCCUCGUUAACCAAGGCCUUAAAUUGGUCCUUGUGAGAAUGGGGGAGCUUUUCAAUAUUUCAAUAAAAUAACUACAUUUCACAUAGUUCUGAGUCAUAUUUAGCCCAGAAGGCUUGAUAGUUCACCACUCUGAAUUGAAGGGUGGCUGAGGCGUGGGCCUUAUUGCAAAACAGGUCCAGGUGCUCCCAGUCCUGGUAUAAGGGGUGGACUUAAAGUGGUUUUGGCAGCCUUUAGAGUUAACUGCAUCCACAAUGAUCAAAUUGGGAGGCAAGUGUGAGAACAGGAAUUCUGUGUCCUUUGCUGGCACAUAUUUCUUGUCCACCCUCUUACAAGUUGGUGGGAUGGAUGCAGAGGCCUGCCAUAUCACCUUGGCAGAAUCCAGUAGAGCCUCAUUAAUAGGGAAGGAGCACUCUGGAGGAAGUGGAGGAAUGCAGAAUGUCCACCAGCUAGUGGCGCAACUCAGACACCUCUUGUAAAGGCCUCUGUCACCCUCUGUGCCAAGUCCUGGAACAGCUUACAGUCAUCUGCCAUAGAUGGCGAAGGGGACAUCACAGUCUCAUCUGGUGAUAAUGAUGAGAAGUGGGCUGGAGGAGUAACUUCCUCUUCGACUUUGGCCUCCAGUUCCUCCCUUGCCUGCUCGGGGAGUUCAGAGGCCCUUGAAGCAGCAGCUGAAGGAGGGUACUUCCUCAGCUGUUGGUAUGCCGUACUAUCAGUGAUGGAGGCCUGUUGCCUUUGGGCCUGCCGGGGUCCCAGUAUGGCCACUGUGAUAGGAAGGGGCGCAGUGGUUGGUACCACAGUUGCCUAUACUAGGGAUGUUGUGGGUCAGAAGGCUGGUAUGCCACCGGGUGAAACUGGUCCAUAGUGAAACUGGGCUCUGUAUGGCGGGUGAGAAGGAAUUGAGGAGACACUGCCCACGCAUGCUGGCUAGCCUUGUGGCAGGAGGGGAGCAGCGCAUGCGUGGGUGAAACUGACUGCUACCAAAGUUCUCCGAUCAGCAGCACAGGAACACAAGCACGCCGACAGAGGAGCACCCACAGGGACACUACUCGAAGAUGCAGCACCAUUAUUUGGAUGGCCUCUUGCCCCUCUAGGCAGAUCUACCUCCAUAAUUAGAGUUCUAAAUCAUCAAUAUCCAUAACAGAAUGUUUGGAUUUUCCACCCUAUUAGUACUAUGGAACUUUCUCCUCCCCUUUUAAUGUUGAUGCCUGUAAUUAAUCACUUUAAUGCUGUGGAGAUCAUAAGAAAGUGUGUACUUAUUACUAUUUGUUAAUAAGCGAACAAUUGUUGCUUGAUGUUCAGAAGCCUUUUUUUACAAAUUAUUAAUCCAAUUACAUCCUUUCUGACUCUUAUUUUUGCUGGCAGUUAUAAGGUGACAAUUUAAUUUUCAUCGGUCUAUAGUAUUCAGAAAUAAAGACUGAGCAACAAAAAACUACACUUACAGUCUUUUCUAGCACAGCACGAGAAGGAAAAUCAGUUUCUAAAACUUCUUUCAAAUUUUGUAAUAGGGUGAUAUCUGGAUCCCUGCAAGUAGAGGAAAGAGACUUUAACACAUGGAACUGCAAAAUGCAGAUUUUAAACUAAAAUUGUAUUCGUGAAAACACUUACCACAAGUGCAUGUUGUUGUUCAGCUUUGUUCUCAAAGGAUUUACCACUACAAAGUUACACAUAGAUAUUUACAUUACUCACAGGAAGAGACUUCCCCCGCAUUUCAGCACUUACAACUAGAUUUUUUAAAGGUAUUUAGACACCUAAAUAUGCAGGGGUGCCAAUGCAUUUGAAAUCCCACUAGGCAUCUUAAUACAUUUACAAAUCUGGCCCGCAGUCAUCAUAUUUGAAAAGUCAUAUAUAAUGAUAAUAGCACUAAGUUUUGGGACAUUGUACACCAAAGGUAUGAUUGCCCCUCGAGACAUGGCCAGGAGCUAUAGAAAAUCGAGGGAAAGACAUUAGGGAAUUUACAGUGGAUUAUUUAUAAAAAACAAAAAAAAACAGGCAAAAUAAUCAUAGAUGUGGUCAGAUAAUUAUCUUUCAGAAUAAUUCUCUGCAGGACACAGGGCAUCUCCUGAAUUGUGAUUCUGCUGGAAAAGGACUAAAAAAAUAUUGUAGGGUUCCACCUUUCUCUCAGUAACUUGCAAAAUACAUUUACUCAAUCAGCACUUAAAAGAAUUAAGUGUUUUGUGUUUUUGUUAUCCUUGCAAACUCAGCGUGGUAUCAGACAGUCAAGCUGGGGGAAAAACAGCUUGUGUAUCAUCCCCAUAUAUAAUGUGGGAAAAGUCAGGACAGGAUGUGACCCUGUAUCUAGAAUGUAGUUAACAAUUCUAUUGACUGUGUAGUAGCUAAAACUCAAUCUAGCUACUCUCCUACAGCUGAAUGACUUCUACAGUGCCUACAGGAGAAAAAUAAGUUGUCAAUAGUUAGUCACUUUUCUCAUAACUGUAUUUUUAAAGGUUUCAGAGUAGCAGCCGUGUUAGUCUGUAUUCACAAAAAGAAAAGGAGUACUUGUGGCACCUUAGAGACUAACCAAUUUAUUUGAGCAUAAGCUUUCAUGAGCUACAUCCGAUGAAGUGAUCUGUAGAUCAUGAAAGCUUACGCUCAAAUAAAUUGGUUAGUCUCUAAGGUGCCACAAGUACUCCUUUUCUUUUUGUAUUUUUAAAGUAUUCUUCAAUUUGUGAUAUCUUAAUUUGCCAGACUUUAACACAUUAACAGUGCACAACAGCAUGCCGUGAAUUCACUCUUGUAUUGUUUUGUGUAAGUAUAUGCAAGAGAUACUGACAUUUUAAAGGUUUCAGAGUAGCAGCCGUGUUAGUCUGUAUCCGCAAAAAGAAAAGGAGAAGUACUCCUUUUCUUUUUUGACAUUUUAAACUUUACUUAAAUACAAGACAGAGCCUGAAACCACUAAAUUAAGUUUACCUUAAAAGCCUGUAAGCAGUUACUGGUACAAGUCGAAACAGACCCAGCUUCUAAGAUUGAGAAAUGAGUUUGUAUAUGAAAUUUCGUAUAUGAAAGACCUUACCGUGGUCUGCUCCAAGAAAGUAACACUCAGGAAGCAUAGUUGGGUGCCUGGGAUCUACCUCUAAGUUUAUGGAAACAUUGUUUCCUGAAAUGAGAGAGAAUGCAUUUUAAAUGGAAGGUGUAAAGCUUUCCUUUAUAACCGCAAAUAGAGAAAGUACUUAUGUUUUUCAAAUGAGUUGUUUUGAGCACACCUAUAGUUUUAUGAACAUUGUUACAGCUUUUAGAUGGCUAAAGUAAGCUAUUUGGCUUAGAAUUCUGAACUGAUGGUGUUCACGACUACAAAUUUUAGUUCAGUAUAAACAAGUUUUAUCUAGGCAGUGAGUUAAAGUCCUGUGAUAAACCAUAAGUGGGGAGGGUGCCAGAGUCCCAGCUCCAGCCAGAGCCCAAACAUUUACACUGCAGUUUUAUAGCCCUGAAGCCCAAGCCAGUUGACACAGGCCAGCUGCAGGUGUUUUACUGCAGCAUAGACAUACUCUCAGGAAUCAGGAAAAGGCAGGGGAGAGGGCCCAACUGGACUGGAAGGGAGAGGAGCUGGCUACACAAAAGGAGACUCACUGCAGUCUCUGGGCUGUCAAGUAGGGGAAAGAGUGACCUAUCAUUUCAGCCAUCAGCUCAACAGUUGUUUGCAUAAAGCUGCAGUCUCAGAGUGGGUACUGCCUACUUCUGUUGUUUCCCUAUUUUGCAGCUAGUUAAUAUUCCUCCAACUUUCAGGAACUUAAAUUUGUUUUAUUUUUGUUCUAUCAUGUACCAUCAGACUUCUGGCGCUUGUGACUGAAGUUGAGCAACAUCGCAGUAUAUAAUUAUAAAAUGCUAAGCUAAAAAUCGGAGUCCUCAUUCCGAAGAUACAUUUUUUUCUCUAUUUUUGACUGCAGACAGUGGAAAGUGCCUACUUUUCAAAUAACUAAGGUGACUCCCAAGCAGUACUAACAGAGGUAGGUCGGAGUUCAUGGAAGUGUCGAUAGCAACACAACUCUGCCGAAGCCAGCAUCAUUUCUGGCCUGCUGACUGAUGGCAUGAUGAGACGUGAACCUGUGCACAGAGGACGACGUUGCAGCCCUGCAUAUGUCCUGGAUAGGGACUUGUGCCAGGAAAGCAGCCAAAGAAGCUUGCACCCUUCUUGAAUGAGCCUUUGCUAUUGGAGGGGGCGCUAUCUCGUACAUGGUGAUCCAGAUUGAAAUCCUCUGUGAGGACACCAGACCCUUAAUCCUGUCGGCUAUCACAAUACAGAGCUGAGUCAAUCUACGGAAGGGGUUGGUGCGCUCUAAGUAGAAAGCCAGUGCAAUGCCUGACAUCUAGAGUAUGCAGACACCUCUCCUCGCUGGUCGAGUGAGCCUUUGGACAGAACACCAGAAGAAAAAUAUCCUAGUUGACAUGGAAGUGCGAUACCACUAUUGGCAGAAAGGUUGGGUGGGGCUGCAGCUGAACCUUGUCCUCGUAGAACAUGGUGUAAGGGGGCUCCGAAGUAAGAGCUCUAAACUCAGAUGCUCGUCUCACUGAGAUAAUAGCUACAAGGAAUGUGACCUUCCACAACAAGAAGCCAAAUGCUCGGAGGGCAGGCCCAUGAGCCUGGAGAGGACCAGGUUGAGGUCCCAUUGGGAGAUGGGGUCCCAGUCCCGGACCACCUGAAAGAAUCUUUCAGGGCCUUUCAGGAACCUAAUAGUCAUGUCACGUGAGAAUAUUGAUCUACCCUCGAGACGAGGGUGAAAGGCUGAUACAGCCACCAGAUAAACCUUGAUCUAAGAGAAGGUGAGGCCCUGGUGCUUUAAGUGAAGCAGGUAAUCCAGAAUGGACGGCAGAGAUGACUGGUUUGCAGAGAUACCCUGCUCCAGCAGGAUAAAUGCUUCCACUUUGCCAGGUAAGUUGCUCUGGUGGAGGGCUUCCUGGUCUCCAAGAGAACUUGCUGUUCCUGACUAGAGCAGGCUUGCUCCUCUGGAUUCAACCAUGCAGCAUCCAUGCUGUGAGGUGGAGUGAGAUUUGGUUUGGGUGCAGCAGCUGACCGUGAUCCUGCGAGAGCAGGUCUGGGUGGCUGGGAAGCACCCACGGGGCUGCUACAGCCAGGUCCAUGAGCAUGCCAAACCAGUGCUGGCGAGGCCAUGCUGGGGCAAAUCAAUGUCCUGUGCCUUGUCCCUCUUAUUUUUAAGAGAACUUUUUUAAUGAGUGGGAUUGGCAGCAAGGUGUACAUAAGGUCUCCUGACCAAGGCAGGAGAAAGGCGUCAGAAAGAGCCUCUGCUGAGGCCUUGCAGGGAGCAGAACUGAUGACACUUUCUAUUCUGUCUGGUGGUGGACAGGUCUACUCGAGGAGCUCCCCACUUCUGGAAGAGCAUCCUGAUAACCUCCCAGUGGCGGGACCACUCGUGAUGAGAGAAGGACCUGCUGAGGCGAUCUGCCAGUGUGUUCUGGAUGCUGGGGAGGUGCAAGGCUUCCAGGCUCAGAGCUUGACAGGUAGCUUACAAUGUCUCGAUGCUGCACUGGACCUGGACUCUGGAGCGCCCUUUAUGAGCCAGUUGUCGAGGUAUGGGUAGAUCUCGAUAACCUGAUAUCUGAGACCUCUGUUGGGGAUCUGUACUGGGAUGAUGGCUCUUGGUGCUGUAACUCUGGUGACCGGCGGCAGCGUUCAGCGGAUCAGCGAUGGUACCCCGGCGUUCGAUGCCUUACGCUUUGAGAAAGGUGUCACUCUGUAGACCGGGACUGACAUCUUGGAAACUUUUGAUGUGCCAACGGUGAUCAAUACCAGUGAUGCAAAGACCGGUGAUGGGGCUCCAGGAACCGGUGUCUUGAUCCUCCGGAGUGGUGCCGUGGAAUGGGAGACCGACUUGGACGCUUCCAGCUCAGGGGACUGGUGAUGCGUCUCUGCAGGUCUGCACCCAACCGCCGGCAAUCAAUGCCAGGACCCCGAGAAACACUGCCUAGAGUCCAGGGACUGAUGCUGGAACUCUGGCAGGUAAGCUGACCCGCAUCUGGAGGCUGACAGUGCUGUUCAGGUGAGAGCUGGCAGGGCAUCCCCUAUGACAGGAAGCGGUGCCACGCUGAUGGAGACCGCUGGAAAGAUCCCAGGGCAGGUUUACCACUCGAAUGGGGCACCUCACUGGCUAGCAUGGGUGGCACCAAAACGGACAAUAUGUCCUUAAUGGCUUGAAAGUCCUCUGGUGUGGACAGCGCCGCCAGGUGCCGAGUGCCUCUGCCGCUUCCUAGGGUGGCGGGUGGGUCUUGAAGCAAGCUCGACAGCUCAACAGGAGCUGGAGCCUGGCCACCAUCCAGAGCAGAAGAGCUGCCCCGCGCAGAUCUUGGCUCUCCUCCGGCUCUCUCCUUCCCUUUACGAGAUGUAGAAGAAUGCCUUUUCCCAGCCUCUCUCUGCUUUUUAGCUAGUACCGGGUAUGACAGGCUCUCCCCGGGGUGCCACUUGGAACUGGGAUACCACUGAGCCAGCCUGACCCACCAGCCUGGGCUCCUUUUCACAUUGUGGUGCUGUGAUAAGUUGCCAAGCUUGCUCUUUCAUCUGCAUACACACAGAUAGGGACUCACCCAGCUGCAGCUUCACACAGAUGCUGAGAUCAGCUCUGCUCAGCUAAGGCAUCUCCCAGUUGCUAAACCCUGCACCCCCUCUGGAGUGUAAACCCAAAAUUAUAUCAUCUUGCACUGCACAGGGAACUGUACAGAGUAAACUCAUAAAUUUCACCCCCUCCCUUUCUGCCCCAAGUUAUAAUUUCCACACACUGGUUUUAGACAAAACAAAAAACAACUACAAAAGGAUAGAUUUUAAGUGACAGCAAACAGAUCAAAGCAGAUUACUUUAGUAAAUAAACAAAACCGCAAACUGAGCUUAACACACUAGAUAGGUAGGAUAUGAAUUAGCAAAUUCUCACCCUGCGUGAUAAGCAGGCUGGCAGAUUCUUAAGGCACAAGUAACCUCGGCUUUCCCAGGUUUUCAUACACAGGCUAACAAUUCCUCUAGGCUGGAACCAUCACUAUCCACAGUUCAGUCCUUCCCCCUCAGGUGUUUCCAGAUGUGUUGUUGUAGGGAGAGUGAGGUACCAUUGUCCCCCUUUUUAUAUCCUCUUCCCACUUGCUGGAAAGCUCUUUUGCUGUGACCUGGGGUCAAACAGUUCCCAUUGUGUAGUGCGAUCUCUGAGAGGUUUCCAUUGUACACAGUUCCUGGGGUAUUCCUUGUGCUUGUGUGCAUUCCCUCAAUAAACCAUUAACAUUGUUAUACAUAUGCUUGUGGGUGUUUUCAACCUUGCGUUUCAGUAACACAUUCAUAGCCAAACUUCAUAACUUCACAUAUGACGGCAGCACAUACAGUCCAACAAGUUAUUAAUGUCUAAAGACUUACAGAAUGAUACCUCACAAGGCAUACCUUGUACAAAACAUAUCCUAAUUACACCCCUGGCACCCUAAUAUUCACCACUGUUAUGUCACAACAGGGAUGGGAAUCAGCGCCGGUCGGAGGUCAUUGCCAGAGGCACGCUACGCACUGAGGCCGCAGUACUUGGAGCAGAGUCCGAUCUCGUCAGCUCUAAGGCCGGUGCAAGGACACACUACAUAAGGAGUGCUUGGAGAUGAAUGUCCCGCUCCUUUUUGGUCCGCGACUGAAAGCUCUUGCAAAUGCGACAUUUGUCACUAACAUUUGUCACUUGUUUCCCCUAAACACUUCAGGCUGCUUCUGUGUGGAUCACUGACUGGCACAGGUUUCUUGCAGCAGUCACAAGGUUUGAAGCUUGGAGACCAGAGCAUGCCCUAUCCCUAGGCUAAGUCCCGUAUGGGACUAACUAAUUAUUUUUAACUGAACACAAAGGGAACUAUACACUGUAGAACUUUUAACAACUAUAUACAACAAAUUCGCUACUAGGCACAGUUGAGAUAGGAAAGCUUGCCAAGGGAAGGAGAUGUUCCAACAUUGUCACUGGCGGUAAAAAGGAACCGGGGGGGUGGGGGG